UACGUAGGGGGCAAGCGUUGUCCGGAUUUAUUGGGCGUAAAGAGCGUGUAGGCGGCCAUGUAGGUCCGUUGUGAAACUCGAGGCUCAACCUCGAGACGCCGAUGGAAACCAUGUGGCUAGAGUCCGGAAGAGGAGAGUGGAAUUCCUGGUGUAGCGGUGAAUGCGUAGAUAUCGGGAAGAACACCCGUGCGAAGGCGGCUCUCUGGGACGGUACUGGACGCUGAGACGCGAAAGCGUGGGAGCGACGAGG
rnacentral:rRNA from 1 species